AUGAACGCUGGCGGCGUGCUUAACACAUGCAAGUCGAACGGAAAGGCUCCUGCUUGCAGGGGUACUCGAGUGGCGAACGGGUGAGUAGCACGUGGGUGAUCUGCCCUGCACUUCGGGAUAAGCCUGGGAAACUGGGUCUAAUACCGGAUAGGACGAUGGUUUGGAUGCCAUUGUGGAAAGUUUUUUCGGUGUGGGAUGAGCUCGCGGCCUAUCAGCUUGUUGGUGGGGUAAUGGCCUACCAAGGCGUCGACGGGUAGCCGGCCUGAGAGGGUGUACGGCCACAUUGGGACUGAGAUACGGCCCAGACUCCUACGGGAGGCAGCAGUGGGGAAUAUUGCACAAUGGGCGCAAGCCUGAUGCAGCGACGCCGCGUGGGGGAUGACGGCCUUCGGGUUGUAAACUCCUUUCGCUAGGGACGAAGCGCAAGUGACGGUACCUGGAGAAGAAGCACCGGCUAACUACGUG
rnacentral:rRNA from 1 species